GACGAACGCUGGCGGCGUGCUUAACACAUGCAAGUCGAACGAUGAAGCCGGAGCUUGCUCUGGUGAAUUAGUGGCGAACGCGUGAGUAACACGUGAGUAACCUGCCCUUGACUCUGGGAUAUCUUCUAGAAAUGGUAGCUAAUACCGGAUACGACCCUCGGAGGCAUCUUCAGGUGGUAGAAAGAAUUUCGGUCAAGGAUGGACUCGCGGCCUAUCAGCUAGUUGGUGAGGUAAUGGCUCACCAAGGCGACGACGGGUAGCCGGCCUGAGAGGGGGACCGGGAAAACUGGGACGGAGAAACGGCCCAGACAGAGACGGGAGACAGCACUGGGGAAUAUGCAACAAUGGGAGCAAGGCUGAUGCAGCAACACCGCGUGAGGGAUGACGGCCUGAGGGGUGUAAACCGAGUUUAGCAGGGAAGCAGAGAAAGUGAAGGGAAAUGCAGAAAAAGAAACGGCUAACGACGUGCCAGCCGCCGCGGGAA
rnacentral:rRNA from 1 species